AUGGCAUCCUCCUCUUCCUUUCUCCUCCUUGCUACACUUCUUGCGGUAGUCUCAUGGCAGGCCAAUGCUUCUGAUCCUAGCCCACUCCAGGACUUUUGUGUUGCCGACAUGAAUUCACCAGGUACUUUCCGUUUUGUUAUCAUGUUUUCACCAAAUACAUAUGUUGAAAUCAAUUUCUGGAAAUUAUAUGCAAGUCAAUACAACUUUGUAAAAUCUGAGCUUACAUGUACGUCUCUUGUGCCCCCAGUCCGUGUCAAUGGGCUUGUUUGCAAGAACCCGAUGGAGGUCAACGCAGACGACUUCUUCAAGGCGGCCAACCUCGACAAGCCUAGGAUGCCUAAUAAGGUUGGAUCCAACGUCACUUUGAUAAACGUCAUGCAGAUUGCUGGACUCAACACCCUCGGCAUCUCAAUUGCACGCAUCGACUAUGCUCCAUUGGGUCAAAACCCACCACAUACGCACCCUCGCGCCACUGAGAUCCUCACGGUGCUUGAGGGAACAUUGUACGUAGGCUUUGUGACAUCCAACCAGCCCGCCCCAAACAAAAACAAGUUCCUCUCCAAGGUGCUCAACAAAGGUGAUGUGUUUGUCUUCCCCGUGGGGCUCAUCCACUUCCAAUUCAACCCCAACCCCCACCAGCCCGCUGUUGCAAUUGCCGCGCUAAGUAGCCAGAACCCAGGGGCUAUCACAAUUGCCAAUGCUGUGUUUGGGUCAGACCCACCAAUAUCAGAUGAUGUUCUUGCCAAGGCAUUUCAGGUGGAAAAGAAAACAAUAGACUAUCUCCAGGCUCAAUUCUGGGAGAACAACCACUACUAA
rnacentral:rRNA from 1 species